UCAAAUCACCAGUUCCAGUCAUUUGCCAAAUUUUGCUUGGAACGAACUCAGGUGCAUGAGGGUUCAUAACUCUCGGAGAUCCAAAUCCAUUUUGUUCCAAAAUAGGAGUUUGGUAUCUAAGAAAGCUACCGUAAGAAUUAUUGUUUCUGUAAAACAAUGGCGACCUUGGCCCGCAAGGAACUCGAGCAGCAACUGGAGGUACAACAGGCUCAACAAGCAUGCCUUGACUAGCUGUUACAUCAUAAACACAUGUAACAGAAACUGAGUUUAAAGGGUGAUAGAGUGCUCCG
rnacentral:lncRNA from 1 species